AGCUUUGCGCAGUGGCGAUAUCAUAACAAUCGAGGUUUAUCCGAGGUGUGAUUAUUGCUAGUUGAACACUAAAAAAAACCCGAGGCAAAAGUUUCUGUUGAUUACUAAGAACAAAAGUAAACAAGUUGUAGCGUGUACCACGUGUAC